UCCGGAAACGGGCGCUAAUACCGCAUACGUCCUGAGGGAGAAAGUGGGGGAUCUUCGGACCUCACGCUAUCAGAUGAGCCUAGGUCGGAUUAACUAGUUGGUGGGGUAAAGGCCUACCAAGGCGACGAUCCGUAACUGGUCUGAGAGGAUGAUCAGUCACACUGGAACUGAGACACGGUCCAGACUCCUACGGGAGGCAGCAGUGGGGAAUAUUGGACAAUGGGCGAAAGCCUGAUCCAGCCAUGCCGCGUGUGUGAAGAAGGUCUUCGGAUUGUAAAGCACUUUAAGUUGGGAGGAAGGGCAGUAAGUUAAUACCUUGCUGUUUUGACGUUACCAACAGAAUAAGCACCGGCUAACUUCGUGCCAGCAGCCGCGGUAAUACGAAGGGUGCAAGCGUUAAUCGGAAUUACUGGGCGUAAAGCGCGCGUAGGUGGUUCAGCAAGUUGGAUGUGAAAUCCCCGGGCUCAACCUGGGAACUGCAUCC
rnacentral:rRNA from 1 species